rfam:Poecilia formosa, whole genome shotgun sequence.
GGUCCGGAGUGGAGUGGAAGACUAGUGAUUUUGUUGUUUUGCUUUUAGACAGACAACAAGUCAUUGUCUCCCUCCCUGCUUCGAGGCA